rnacentral:rRNA from 1 species
GACGUAGGGCGCGAGCGUUGUCCGGAUUUAUUGGGCGUAAAGAGCUCGUAGGCGGUCUGUCGCGUCUGCUGUGAAAACUCAGGGCUUAACCCUGAGCUUGCAGUGGGUACGGGCAGACUAGAGUGCGGUAGGGGAGACUGGAAUUCCCGGUGUAGCGGUGAAAUGCGCAGAUAUCGGGAGGAACACCGGUGGCGAAGGCGGUUCUCUGGGCCUUACCUGACGCUGAGGAGCGAAAGCGUGGGGAGCGAACAGG